GGGCUCCUCCAGCAACAUGGACUGUGUUUGGAGGAACAUUUGCCUGUUCUUCCCAUCAUUAUUCUUGAAGUUGAAUCCUCGAACAAGCUGCAUAUCAGAGUGUUUCCAUCCGCUCGGGUGCUCAUCGGAACGGGGAUUCCAAUCCUUCAGAGAAGAUCCCAAGUUCUUCGACGGAUCAUCAUGAUUGGAUGCUCACAGAAGGAGAUCAAGUGAAAUUGCUGUGAUUCAAUUAUCUAGUAGUGGUUCUGUGAGAUCAUAGUCCAAAGCACAUUAUUAUCUUUGCUGACACGGCGAUAGCGACUCCCACACGAAAUCAAUGACGAAAGUGAAACAUGGCCUUUCCUUCAAGCUAAAGGAAGAAGAAAAGUUGCAGAUGGACAAGUUGCACACGAAAUCAUAGAGAUUGCAUUCACAUAGUAAUUAUCUUAGAACACAGAGUCAAGAGUCAUACAUCCACAACUACAAUCUAAAACGAGGAAGAGAGAGAGGUGUUCUUUCUCAUACAUCAGCCAACCAUAUCAUCUUAUUUUAUAGCAGUAGUAGGACUCACUCUCUAGACACAAACUAGGAAGCACCACAGAGAC